AUGGACAUAUCACGUUGAAACACCGGUUACCGUACGAUCGCCGAAGUUAAGCAACAUCGAGCUUGGUCAUUGCCUAGAUGGGUAACCGGUUGGGCAUACCAGUUGUUGCAAG